CAGCAGCCACGGUAAUACGAAGGGGGCUAGCGUUGCUCGGAAUCACUGGGCGUAAAGGGUGCGUAGGCGGGUCUUUAAGUCAGGGGUGAAAUCCUGGAGCUCAACUCCAGAACUGCCUUUGAUACUGAAGAUCUUGAGUUCGGGAGAGGUGAGUGGAACUGCGAGUGUAGAGGUGAAAUUCGUAGAUAUUCGCAAGAACACCAGUGGCGAAGGCGGCUCACUGGCCCGAUACUGACGCUGAGGCACGAAAGCGUGGGGAGCAAACAGGAUUAGAUACCCCUGUAGUCCCUGUCUCUUAUAC
rnacentral:rRNA from 1 species